GCGCCGCAUGAUCCAUCAUUCUACGCAAGGGAAGCGCUUCCGACAGAUGGCGACUCCGUAAGUCCUCGCCCCCAAUACCUCUCAGCACUCAAUAUAUAUAGAUCAUAAAUCUUAUUAUUGAUACGUAGUUAAAAGGCAUUCUCAUAUACAUGCAUACCUAUGCGUGCAGUGCAUCGUGUCACGCGCUGCAGGCAGAAAAAUGGACGGACGGACGGACAAAGGCCCGUGGAAAGAAGCCCUAGAGUGCUUACGCACUAAUAUAGCCUGAAGAUCCUUACCUCGUAACCAGCCGCUUUGCAAGAUAUGGCAAGAGAACAAGAGACUACUAUGUUCCUGUAUAUUUUAAUAAUUUAUCUGAAAGUGCCUUGCGCGCUCAAACUGAAUGCAAGUUAAAAAAUACACUCAGGCAAAUUGACAAUUAGUCGCCGCAGGGAAGCACUCACUUUUCUUUUUCCUUCUUUCCUUUACUUUCGUUAGAGCUCUUUCUUUCUUUCCUUCUUUCAUCUUUUUCUCCUCCUAUGGACAAUCUUAAAAUGUGAAAAGUAUGUCAUUUACAAUUCCUAGUGGUUUCUGCUGCCUGCCAGGCAUUGCCGCUCAAGCCCUAUGUGGCUUUGGCAGGCCUGAUUUGUACGCUGUUUUCUUUGUAACUUUGUGCAAUAAAGUAUUAUUAUUAUUAUUGCUA